rnacentral:rRNA from 1 species
ACACAUGCAAGUCGAGGGGCAGCAUGGUCUUAGCUUGCUAAGGCCGAUGGCGACCGGCGCACGGGUGAGUAACACGUAUCCAACCUGCCGUCUACUCUUGGACAGCCUUCUGAAAGGAAGAUUAAUACAAGAUGGCAUCAUGAGUCCGCAUGUUCACAUGAUUAAAGGUAUUCCGGUAGACGAUGGGGAUGCGUUCCAUUAGAUAGUAGGCGGGGUAACGGCCCACCUAGUCUUCGAUGGAUAGGGGUUCUGAGAGGAAGGUCCCCCACAUUGGAACUGAGACACGGUCCAAACUCCUACGGGAGGCAGCAGUGAGGAAUAUUGGUCAAUGGGCGAGAGCCUGAACCAGCCAAGUAGCGUGAAGGAUGACUGCCCUAUGGGUUGUAAACUUCUUUUAUAAAGGAAUAAAGUCGGGUAUGUAUACCCGUUUGCAUGUACUUUAUGAAUAAGGAUCGGCUAACUCCGUGCCAGCAGCCGCGGUAAUACGGAGGAUCCGAGCGUUAUCCGGAUUUAUUGGGUUUAAAGGGAGCGUAGAUGGAUGUUUAAGUCAGUUGUGAAAGUUUGCGGCUCAACCGUAAAAUUGCAGUUGAUACUGGAUAUCUUGAGUGCAGUUGAGGCAGGCGGAAUUCGUGGUGUAGCGGUGAAAUGCUUAGAUAUCACGAAGAACUCCGAUUGCGAAGGCAGCCUGCUAAGCUGCAACUGACAUUGAGGCUCGAAAGUGUGGGUAUCAAACAGGAUUAGAUACCCUGGUAGUCCACACGGUAAACGAUGAAUACUCGCUGUUUGCGAUAUACUGCAAGCGGCCAAGCGAAAGCGUUAAGUAUUCCACCUGGGGAGUACGCCG